ACAGUUGCCUAACAAAACCCUUUGUUUUCCUUUUGCUUCUUUGCACAUUCUUGAUUUCUCAUCAUUCAAAAUUUUACAGAGAGAGCAAACAUGUCUGGCGAAAUCGCACGUAGUCGUCUUGCUGAGGAACACAAAUCAUGGCUUAAGAAUCACCCUGAUGGUUUUGUGGCUGAGCCGGAAACCGGUUCAGAUGGGUCUGUCAAUUUGAUGGUGUGGCAUUGUACUAUCCCUGGAAAACCCGCGACUGACUGGGAAGGUGGCUUCUAUCCAAUAACAAUGCACUUUAGCGAAGACUAUCCUAGCAACCCACCCAUGUGCAAGUUUCCUCAAGGUUUCUUUCAUCCUAAUGUCUAUCCAUCAGGAGAAGUAUGUAUGUCGAUCCUCGAUGAGGACAGGGAGUAGACACCUGACCUUAGCAUUCAAGAAAUUUUGGUGGAUAUCCAACAUUUGCUUGACUGGCCAAACUCUAAAGAUCCAACACAAAUUUGUUAUCAGCUAUACAUCGAUGAUCAGAAUGAGUACAAGAGACAAGUGAGAAACAGACCCUGAAUUAUGCAGCUAGUCCUCAAUCUUAAAAGGUCACUAAACUUUGUAUCUGCUCUCUUGCUCUCGUAUUUGUUAAGAAAUGAAUCUUUUCUGUUAAAGGCCGCAACCGUGAUUUCACCAAAGUUGCAUUAGCAGUUUUCUUGUAAAUUUUGGAACAAUUGGUAGCACUUGAUGAAAAUGUCUUCCUAAGACCUUGACUUCCACUAAAAGGUUCUUUGGCAUCCAUUAAAUCUCGAAAGCUCUUAUCAUU